GGAUUCGGAAUGCUAUACAUGCAGUCGAGCGGACAGAUGGGAGCUUGCUCCCUGAUGUUAGCGGCGGACGGGUGAGUAACACGUGGGUAACCUGCCUGUAAGACUGGGAUAACUCCGGGAAACCGGGGCUAAUACCGGAUGGUUGUUUGAACCGCAUGGUUCAGACAUAAAAGGUGGCUUCGGCUACCACUUACAGAUGGACCCGCGGCGCAUUAGCUAGUUGGUGAGGUAACGGCUCACCAAGGCGACGAUGCGUAGCCGACCUGAGAGGGUGAUCGGCCACACUGGGACUGAGACACGGCCCAGACUCCUACGGGAGGCAGCAGUAGGGAAUCUUCCGCAAUGGACGAAAGUCUGACGGAGCAACGCCGCGUGAGUGAUGAAGGUUUUCGGAUCGUAAAGCUCUGUUGUUAGGGAAGAACAAGUGCCGUUCAAAUAGGGCGGCACCUUGACGGUACCUAACCAGAAAGCCACGGCUAACUACGUGCCAGCAGCCGCGGUAAUACGUAGGUGGCAAGCGUUGUCCGGAAUUAUUGGGCGUAAAGGGCUCGCAGGCGGUUUCUUAAGUCUGAUGUGAAAGCCCCCGGCUCAACCGGGGAGGGUCAUUGGAAACUGGGGAACUUGAGUGCAGAAAAGGAAAGUGGAAUUCCACGUGUAGCGGUGAAAUGCGUAAAGAUGUGGAGGAACACCAGUGGCGAAGGCGACUCUCUGGUCUGUAACUGACGCUAAGGAGCGAAAGCGUGGGGAGCGAACAGGAUUAGAUACCCUGGUAGUCCACGCCGUAAACGAUGAGUGCUAAGUGUUAGGGGGUUUCCGCCCCUUAGUGCUGCAGCUAACGCAUUAAGCACUCCGCCUGGGGAGUACGGCCGCAAGACUGAAACUCAAAGGAAUUGACGGGGGCCCGCACAAGCGGUGGAGCAUGUGGUUUAUUUCAAGCAACGCGAAGAACCUUACCAGGUCUUGACAUCCUCUGACCAUCCUAGAAAUAGAAUUUCCCCUCCGGGGCAAA
rnacentral:rRNA from 1 species